CACCUCACACUUCAUCCUUUCUUGCUGCUCUGGCCAUGUGAUCUGCCUGCUCCCUCUUCGCCUUCCACCAUGAUUCUGUUUCCUGAGGCCUCCCCAGAAGCUGAACAGAUGCCAGCACCAUAAUUCCAGUACAGCCCGUCGAACCGUGAGCCAAUUAAACCUCUUAUUUUAUUUAUUUUAAAAAAUGUUUAAUUUAUUUAUAAAUUACCCAGUCUCAGAUAUUUCUUUACAGCAAUGGGACAACUGACUAAUACAGCUAUCAUAAUGCAUUCAAGAAGGAACAGAAGACACUAAAUAGCCCUGCACCUAUUAAGGAAAUUAAGUUUAUGUUUUUUAAUUCAAUUUAUAAAGAAAUAUAUGAAUGAAAAUACUUUCCACGAAGUAAAUCCUAGGCCUGAAUUAUUUCAUCUGUGAAUGCUAACAAACACUUAAGCAUGAUAUAAUACCCAUUCUAUGUGAACUCUUCUAGGACGUUGAAGAGGAGUAAAUACUUCCCAACUCAUUCCACAAGGCUAGCAUUACUCUGAUACCAAAAUCAAAGGCCUAAGUAAUGAAAACCACGGACCAAUUUCCCUUGUCGAGUGUGCGGUUUCCAUUCAGCACACAGGCCUUCCACCUGGGAAAGUCCAGCUUGGCAGCAGCAUUUCCAUCCAUCUCACCAAGUUACCUAUCCACGGCUGAGUGCUUUUAACGUGUGUUUCUACAGCUGAGAAUUAUUCAGAAAACUAUGUAUGUUCAUCUGUACUGAAGCAAUAGUGAUAGAUCAACUACCUCAUACACGUCAUCUUGAAAUCUCAGGAGGAAAUUACUGCCUACAACACACACACGCAUGACCAGCUUUUAGAGUUUUGAGGUUUCAAAAAGUUCUAUUAAAUGACUUCGGAAUGUUUGAAAUGUACAAAACAUUUCCUAGGAAUUUUUGUAUCAAUGUUUUUCCUACAGAAAUGUCUGUGAACUAGAAUUGUUUUCUUCUAUUCUCUAUAUAUUCAUUUGGUAAACAUGUAUUCAGGUCUGUCCUUGAUACUCAGCAUUCAGAUAUUUAUAACAAUGAAAAACUGAAGUCCCUGUGCUCAGGGACUUUGAUUUAGUGAGGGAUAGAAGUAUAUGCAAGUAGUUACAAUUCAAAAAGGCAAGCUGAUCAGAGAAGUACAAAUAAAGCACUAGGAGUUAAAGAGAAGGAGGUCACUAACUGCCAGGGUCAUUAGAGACCAACAGAGGAAAUUAUAUAUGAUCUGGAUCUUGAUGGACUAAAAUGAAUUUAUGAUGGGGAGAAGCAGAAAGAGUAACAUUUUAGGCAGAAAGAAUAAAGCCUGGAAGUAUAUAAUCAUGUUAAGACUUAUAUGCUGUAUUAGUCCGUUUUCAUGCUGCUGAUAAAGACAUACCAGAGACUGGGAAGAAAAGGUGGUUUAAUUGGACUUACAGUUCCACAUGGCUGGGAAGGCUUCAGAAUCAUGGCGGGAAGUGAAAGGCACUUCUUACAUGGUGGUGGCAAGAGAGGAUGAGAAAGCAGCAAAAGCAGAAACCCCUGAUAAACUCAUCAGAUUUCAUGAGAUUUAUUCACUCUGACGAGAAUAGCACAAGAAAGACUAGCUCCCAUGAUUCAAUUACCUCCCGCUGGGUCCACAACACAUGAGAAUUCUGGGAGAUAUGAUUCAAGUUUAGAUUUGAGUGGGGACACAGCCAAACCAUAUCAUAGGCCAUACUGAGGAAGUCUGCUUUUGAUAGUCUCAAUAUCAAGCACUUCGCGAGUGCUUAAUUUUGACCUGUUCUUUGUGGGUAAAAUGAUGGGAUCAGUUUAUGUUCAUGAAAUUGAUGGUGAUAAUAAUGAUUAAAAAUAGGAUCUUUCUAUGGAUCUUGGUCAACAUGUCCAUGUGGCUGUGCUAACCAGUUAUUUACUAUUUUAUCAACCUGCUUGCAUUUUCCUAUUUCUUAAUCCCUUAGUAUUCUUUGAGAAAGGACUAUCAUACAUCAUGACUGUUAGUAGAGCCUAGAAGAUUAAAGAUUUUCUCCUUUGACGGUCUUAAAUAUAACAGUUCUUCUGAAAUAAAUUCAUAUAUUCAACUUAAUUCCUGCCAAAAUUUCAGACACACACACACACACACACACACAGCAAAAUUGUUAUAAAAUAAAUUUGGAAAAUAAUAGAGAUGAGAAAAUUAUGAAAACUAGUGCAAAUACUAAAAUCGAAUUAAUACUAACAGAUAUAACAUAUUGCAACAUGUUAUAUAGACUCUGAAAUAAAAACGAUUUGUUACUAGGCUAAAAACAAAACCUGCAGCCAAGAAGUAGAAUGUAUUACAUAUGGCACUAUAGUUUCAUAAAGGAGAUACCAUUGGUCAAUCAGAAACCUGAAGGUUUAGUCAGUAAGUGUUCUAUGAGAGAUCAGAUAGCAAUUUGCAAAGAAAAAUUAAUUUAGAGCCUCGUCUCAUAUCAUAGGCCAAAAUAUAUUUUAGAUAAAGAAGUAAACAUUAAAAAUGAAACAACAGAAACUAGUAAAAAAUAAAGUGAAAUAAGUAUUAUCAAAUGUCUAGAUUCAAAAGGACUUAGCUUAGAAAUGAUAAAAGACUUAAGAGAGAAAAAUAAAGAUUGAGCCAUAUACAAAUUUAAAACUUUAAUAUCUAAACUCUAAAAACCGUAAGACAAGUAUCAAAUUUGGAAAUGGCUACAGAAAAUACUAAAAACAUUAAUAACUUUAUUGUAUUAUGAACUUGUAUUAACUGACAGAAAACAUAAGAAAAACAGGGAAAAAUACAAAUAAAUACAAAAUUAACUAGCUACAAAGGGAAAUUAAAAAUAAUUAUGGUUUUUUAUUAUAUAACUAAUCAGCAAACAUACAAAACCUAUAUUCAAUCUCAGUUGUAAUGGAAAUCCAAAAUAAAACAACAUUAAGAUAUAAUUGUUUUACUGGUAUAAAUAGUAUUUUUCUCAUUGAUAAUAUUCAAUGUAAAUGCAAAGACAGUGUAGAGUUUGUGUUUGGAUAAUUGGGUGGUCAUUACUUUUAUCUUCUUAAUUUUAUUUUUUUAAAUGUCUUUAAUGGCUUUUUUUUACUUUUAUAAUUGAAAAAAAUUCAAAGUGACAACAUAUAUGUAUAGUAAUUAAGAAAAAUAUCUUCUCGAAUUGGAGUGAAUUUGUAAUCCUACACACUGGGCCAACUGGCAUCAGAACUUCCACUGACUAUUGUUAAAGAAUCUGCUCAAAAACAAUAAGAUUUUUCAGUGAAGAAGGGUUAUUUCACUUAUCAGGAUCUGCUGAGGCAGCAGAACAGAGAAAUAUCUGUUGUCAAUCAGCUCAAAAUACUUAAUAACAAAAUAGGUAUUAUUCAGCCAUCAUGAGUCAAAGGCAGAAUUUUUUAUAGAAAAGAACAACUAAUGAUUGAAACCUGCAUAUUCAGCAGACAUUUACUCCACAGAAUUCUAGGCAGCAAGAUAAAAAACAAACAAACAAACAAAAAAACAGCAUUGCUAAAUUACUAAAAGGCUAGAGGUGAAUCGUGUGUGUGGUAAGUGCUUCAGAAAAUAUUAUGAUCUAUUUUUCUUGUCUUUGCAAAGAAAGUCCCGGACUUACAAUGGUUUGACUUGUGAUUUUUCAGCUUUGCCAUGAGUUUAAUGGGACAUAACCCCAUUGUAGAUUGAGGAACAUCUGUACUUAUGAAACACCUCCACCUCUACACAAUUUGUUGUUGGUGGUAGUAGUAGUGGGGGCAUGUUAUGGGGGUGAUUCUCGACAGCUCGCUGAUAUCUAUAUGAAGGAGUGGAUAGAAUGAUAAAUGGUAGGUGUGAUGUGCUGAUGGGACAAAGGUCCAAAAAGUUCAGCAGAGAGGUUGGGAAGAGAAGUGUCAUGAAAGUGACAGAAAGCUCCACAUGCCAGCUUAUUCCUUGGGCUAAAAACCAUUAAUGACUUUCCCUCUGUCCUCUCAGCUUGUGUAAAACACCUAAGAAAUAAAAUCAAGAUUCCUCUUUUGAAAUUAUUUCGCUAAACUCUUGAGUCAGCAACGCUGCAUAAAUUUGCAUCUCUACUUUUGCAAGAACUAUUUAUUUAGGGAGCACUAUCUUGUGAAGAUGUUUUGUGGGAUGUAUGACCAUCAAGAUCAAGUCACUGUAAUCCUGAUGAUAACCAGUCAGGAUAUGAAAGUGGGAAGGUUGGCCCCUAAGUGUAUUCUGACUGCUCAAAUCAGUCCUGUAAAAUUGAAACUAACCUACCUGAGCCAGCUCCUAUCCACCUGAUAGGAUACAAAGAAGACUCAUGGGCCUGUGGGUUCUUACAUACAAGCUGCUGUUUUUCCCCUCUACUGAUCGUGGGAAUUUCCAGCUCAGGAGUUGUGUUGGCAUGCUGUCCUGGACAGAGUGAGAGCAGGAGGACCUGGCCACACACGUGCUUAGAUACUGCUUUCCUUUGUCCAGUGAGAGGUUGGAAAGGUACUUACAGAAUCACAAAAAUAAA